GGCGCAUUCCGCCGCCCGCAGGCUUGCGGGGAAACUUCCUUAUUAUUGUGACGCCGAAAUCGGAGAAACCCCGCGCCAGACCAGUGGAGCUGUCACAGUCGGAAUCCCAAGCAGCGGUUCGGUGGCCGCCACGAUCUGCCAGGUGAGGUGGAACCAUUCUGGCUUGUGGUACAGAUGCCAAGUGUGUGACCUGUGCUCUCUCUAGGCUACAUGACUCCCUGAAGGACCAGAACAAUGUUAUGUUGGGGAUAUUGGUCUCUGGGCCAACCUGGGAUCAGCACCAACCUGCAGGGGAUUGUGGCCGAGCCACAGGUGUGUGGCUUCAUAUCCGACAGAAGCGUCAAGGAGGUGGCCUGUGGAGGAAACCACUCCGUGUUCCUCCUGGAGGAUGGGGAAGUUUACACGUGUGGUUUGAACACCAAGGGGCAGCUGGGCCACGAGAGGGAAGGAAACAAGCCAGAGCAAAUUGGAGCUUUGGCAGAUCAACACAUCGUGCAUGUGGCGUGUGGCGAGUCCCACAACCUGGCCCUCAGUGACCGGGGCCAGCUGUUUUCUUGGGGUGCGGGGAGUGACGGCCAACUAGGGCUCAUGACCACCGAGGACUCUGUAGCAGUGCCCAGGUUAAUACAAAAGCUGAACCAGCAGACAAUAUUACAAGUUUCCUGUGGCAACUGGCAUUGCUUGGCUCUUGCAGCUGAUGGUCAGUUCUUCACAUGGGGGAAGAACAGCCAUGGGCAGCUGGGCCUGGGAAAGGAGUUCCCCUCCCAGGCCAGCCCGCAGAGGGUGAGGUCCCUGGAGGGGAUCCCGCUGGCGCAGGUGGCUGCAGGAGGGGCCCACAGCUUUGCCCUGUCUCUCUCAGGAGCUGUUUUUGGCUGGGGGAUGAAUAAUGCAGGACAGCUAGGGCUCAGUGAUGAGGAAGAUCGAGAGUCUCCUUGCCAUGUGAAGCUUCUACGAACACAAAAAGUUGUCUAUAUUAGUUGUGGAGAAGAGCAUACAGCAGUUCUCACAAAGAGUGGAGGUGUGUUUACCUUUGGUGCUGGUUCCUGCGGGCAGCUUGGACACGACUCCAUGAAUGAUGAGGUUAAUCCGAGAAGAGUUCUGGAGCUGAUGGGCAGUGAAGUAACGCAGAUUGCUUGUGGCAGACAACAUACCCUAGCCUUCGUGCCUUCUUCUGGACUCAUCUAUGCAUUUGGUUGUGGAGCGAGAGGUCAAUUAGGAACUGGACACACUUGUAAUGUCAAGUGCCCAUCUCCCGUGAAAGGUUACUGGGCUGCCCAUAGUGGCCAGCUUUCAGCCAGGGCUGAUCGCUUUAAAUAUCACAUUGUUAAGCAGAUUUUCUCUGGAGGAGACCAAACUUUUGUACUUUGCUCCAAAUAUGAGAAUUCUUCUCCUGCUGUUGACUUCAGGACGAUGAACCAAGCACAUUACACCAGUUUAAUAAAUGAUGAAACCAUAGCAGUUUGGAGACAAAAACUCUCAGAACACAACAAUGCAAAUACCAUCAAUGGUGUUGUUCAGAUAUUGUCUUCUGCAGCCUGUUGGAAUGGAAGUUUUCUUGAAAAAAAAAUUGAUGAGCAUUUUAAAACAAGUCCCAAAAUCCCUGGGAUUGACCUGAACUCAACUAGAGUGUUAUUUGAGAAGUUAAUGAGCUCUCAGCACUCCAUGAUUCUAGAGCAGAUCCUGAAUAGCUUUGAAAGUUGCCUGAUUCCUCAGUUGUCGAGUUCACCACCAGAUGUUGAAGCAAUGAGAAUCUACUUAAUACUACCUGAGUUUCCCCUGCUUCAGGAUUCCAAGUACUACAUAACGUUGACUAUCCCCCUGGCGAUGGCCAUUCUGCGGCUGGAUACAAACCCCAGCAAAGUCUUAGAUAACUGGUGGUCUCAGGUAUGCCCGAAAUAUUUCAUGAAGCUGGUAAACCUCUAUAAAGGUGCAGUCGUUUAUCUCCUGAGAGGAAGAAAGACAUUCUUAAUUCCCGUACUGUUUAACAAUUAUGUUACAGCAGCUCUGAAGCUCUUGGAGAAGUUAUACAAGGUGAAUCUUAAAGUGAAGCAUGUGGAAUAUGAUACAUUUUACAUUCCUGAGAUUUCCAAUCUCGUGGACAUUCAGGAAGACUACCUCAUGUGGUUCUUGCAUCAAGCAGGCAUGAAGGCUAGACCAUCUAUAAUACAGGAUGCUGUUACACUUUGUUCCUACCCUUUUAUCUUUGAUGCCCAAGCCAAGACCAAAAUGCUGCAGACUGAUGCUGAAUUGCAGAUGCAGGUGGCGGUCAAUGGAGCCAACCUGCAGAAUGUCUUUAUGCUUCUCACCUUGGAGCCUCUGCUGGCCAGAAGCCCCUUCCUGGUCCUUCACGUUCGCAGGAACAACCUUGUCGGAGAUGCCCUAAGAGAGCUGAGCAUUCAUUCUGAUAUUGAUUUGAAAAAGCCUCUCAAAGUCAUUUUUGAUGGUGAAGAAGCAGUGGAUGCCGGUGGUGUCACAAAAGAGUUCUUUCUUUUACUGUUAAAAGAACUGUUGAAUCCCAUCUAUGGAAUGUUUACCUACUAUCCAGAUUCAAAUCUCUUGUGGUUUUCAGAUACGUGUUUUGUAGAGCACAACUGGUUUCACUUGAUUGGCAUAACCUGUGGCCUCGCCAUCUACAACUCCACCGUGGUCGACCUGCACUUCCCGCUGGCGCUUUAUAAGAAGCUGCUGAACGUGAAGCCUGGCCUGGAAGACUUGAAGGAGCUGUCACCCACGGAAGGAAGGAGUCUUCAAGAACUUUUAGAUUACCCUGGGGAAGAUAUUGAGGAGACUUUCUGCCUCAACUUUACGAUUUGUCGAGAAAGCUAUGGAGUGAUUGAACAGAAGCAGCUGAUACCUGGGGGAGACAAGGUGACCGUGUGCAAGGAUAACAGGCAGGAAUUUGUGGAAGCUUAUGUGAAUUAUGUCUUCCAAAUCUCAGUUCACGAAUGGUACACAGCCUUCUCCAGCGGCUUCCUAAAGGUGUGUGGUGGCAAAGUGCUUGAGCUCUUCCAGCCUUCAGAACUGAGGGCCAUGAUGGUGGGGAACAGCAACUACAACUGGGAGGAACUGGAAGAGACUGCCAUCUACAGGGGUGAUUACUCAGCCGCACAUCCCACUGUGAGACUAUUUUGGGAAACAUUUCAUGAGUUCCCACUGGAAAAGAAGAAGAAGUUUCUCUUGUUCCUGACGGGUAGUGAUCGGAUUCCCAUCUACGGCAUGGCCAGCCUGCAGAUCGUCAUCCAGUCCACAGCCAGCGGGGAGGAGUACUUGCCUGUGGCCCACACUUGCUACAACCUUCUUGACCUCCCCAAAUACAGCAGCAAAGAGGUCCUGAGUGCACGGCUGACCCAGGCCCUGGACAACUACGAGGGGUUCAGCUUGGCCUGAGGCUCCCCAGCUUGCCCCAGAUUUCCCUUCCUUCCUCAGCGUCCACCUUGAGGCCCAUAUAGAAAAUCAUGGGCGUAGUUUGCUUUCAGUAGAAGAAUUACAUCAUCUACCCAAGUAAUCUAAUAGAAGAUCAAAUUUCGUUCCUGCCACGAGAAAGGAGAACUGCUGGGGAAAUGAAGAGGAAAGCAGGGUAGAGGAGCAGGUGGCAUUAAGAAUGGAUAGGAUUCCAGAAGCUUGUGACAGGUGACAAGGCAUUUCCCGUGGAGGGGCAGGCCUUAGCAAGGGCUUGAAGUGGGAGCGUAUUUAGAGAAAGGCCAGGAACAAUUUGAAGGGAGCAUCAGAGGAAACAGAAUAAUGGUAAGUAUGACUGGGGAGAAAGAAGGCAGGUUUGGGGCUGAGGAACCAGGCUAAGGCCUUGAAACGUCCAAAUGUUCAGAACCUCGGGGUAGAGGAAGGAGGCAGUGAUAUGACUUGAGCCUGGUUUUAAGACGGAAACGUGGAUGGGGGAUACAUGUGGAGGAAUUGGAAUGAGGAGGACAGAGCAGAAAGACAGCAACUGAGAGCAGUGUAAACAGACGUGUGGACAGGAGAAAGGGGAGUGGGCGACGAGAGCCUUAAGGGAAAAGGAGAAAUUAAAGUUGAAUCCAAGACUUACUAAUCUAACAGCUGAUGCUUACCUCACUUGUUCACAGCAAAAAACUUUUUUUCAAAAAAAUUUAAAAAUAAUUACUAUAUACUGUACUGUAAUGUACUGUUAGUAAUGGAAAGCUACUGUUCUCUUUACCACCUUUAAACCAUUAAGUUCCGUUCAACAAACACUUAAUAGCAUAUAUAUGUGCUAAGUUUGAGGGACAAAAAAGCCUGUUCCAUUUAAAUUUCUAGGCCUCCAGAAUCCUCAUCCAUGAAAUAAGGAGUUUGGACCAGAUAAUUUCUAAGGUCCCUUUGAGCUCUGAAAUUCUAAAAUCUCAUCACCAAAAGCAGUGCCUGCACAUAGAUAUGCUCAAUAAAUUCUUCCAGAUAUUUGUUGCAUGAGUGAAGUUUUCUAAAAAUGAUUUUUUUCUGGCAUAUUUUCCUCUUUUCCCUUCAUCACUUAGUUUUGGAAGAUUCUAGAUAGGCAUUUCUAGAUUUACUUACCUUCCUCGCCUGCAGACAUUUGGAAGUUUCUCCACUGUAUUCAUAAAUGUACCAGUUUAAUGAAAAAAUAAUUUCAUUAAAAUAAGGCAGUAGGUGGGAUUCAAUGAAAGUGUAACCAGGCAAUGUAGCCAAUUCUGAUAGCUCCAUUUCCAUGUGAAAGCUUUUUGAUGACUAGACUAGUUCUGUAUUAAUAACCUUGGAGAGCUGGGGUUGGCAAACUAUAGCCCAUGAGCUAAAAUAGGUUUUAUAUUUUUAAAAUAUAAAAAAAGAAAAAAGAGAUACAUGACAGCAGUUGUCUGGCCUACACAGCCUAACAUAUUAAUACGUGGCCCUUAAUGGAGAAAGAUUUGCCCCAACUCUUUGAGAUCAGACUUGCAGGAAUCAUAACAAUAGAGCUGGUAACUUACUGAAGUCUUAGGAGGAACGUGGUCAUAGCUGACACUGAACCAGAGAGAACAAAUGUGUGGGCCUUUCUGCCACAGGGGUGAGAAGAAUCAAGCUGUGUCUAAGAUUAAAGCACAGAAAUAGGCACCAAGGUUUUAACUGUCAUAAUCACCACCAGGUACUGACUGUGCGCUGGACCCUGCGCUGAGCAUUAUCUAUGCACUAAUCAGUUUAACUGCCACCUCUGCCCUCCUGGCUCGACCACUUACCAGCUGUGUGGCCUUGGGCAGGUUACUUAACCUCUUGCACCUCAUUUUCUUCCUAUUGAAAAUGGGAAUAGAAAUAGUGCCUACCUCAUGGAGUUGUUAAUGAGAAUUAAGUUAAUUAAUUAAGGGAAAGCAUGUGGGACAGUGCCUAGCAUGUAACAAACUCUCAGUAACUAAAAUUACUAUUCUUACCCUAAUUUUUCACAUGAAAAAAUGAAUGUUUAGAGAAAAUUUGUUCACUGUCAGAGUGGUGGGACAUGGACCAUUAAUCUGUACUGUGCCAAGCUGCUAGAGGUGGGCAGCAAAUUUGACUAGAAAUGGGUCACUAGAGAUGAGGUUGCCUAGUGGCCAAAUGAAAGAGACAUCAUGAUGUAGCAGGUCACUUCCUUGACCACCCAUCUGCAGAGAUGCUGCAGGGAGCUUUGUUUUCCUGCCACUGUACAGUUCAGUAAGGCAGUUCUAUGACUGUGGGACUAAAAUACGGAUCAGGUGUGCUGUUCCUGUAGCAUCCGCAGUAGGUCUCAUUGGAGCUGUUGUCAUUGAGUACGGGGUCUCUGUUGGCAUUCAGUGGUCAGCUAAGUAUCUGUUAACUUCUCCCAGACCAUAGUUUGGAAGUGAUGGCCUAACAGUAGCUUCCAGGUUGGAGAACGUGUGGAGGUACUGGGAGCGUGGUGUGCCUGAAGAGGGCAUCACAGCUCCAUGCCCCUUCCCGCAUACCUUCCAUCUGGCUGCUCCUGAGUUGCAGGACUGGAGGUGACAUCAUCAAAAUGGCAACGUAGGAUACCCAGCCUCCAUCACCCUACAAAGAUCGACAAUUAGACAGCUAUAUAUAAACAGAGCACCGGAGUGCACUUAAGAAACUUCAGCACUGCAGUGGAACCAAAAAUCCCUGAGACUAACCAUACAAAAAGGGGAAGGCAGCUUCAUUCUGCCUGCAUCAUCCUGUCCCCAAAACUAGCAUUGCUCAGCACCAAGAGGGAGCUCCCAGCUAGAUAGAGGACCCUUCACUAGGAAAGGGGGAGUGGGGUGAGUGACUAGCUUCCCCAGCCUUUUGGGGCACCACAUGAAGGUGCCACUUCAGAUUUACCCCACCCAGAGACUGGCAAAGCUGAGACACACAGAGAUGGAACAAGGAAGAAAAGUGGGAGCUACCAGAAGCAGGCACACAGCAGAAGCUACUAUGGUUUCUAGACACCUGCUCUAAGACAUAUCCAGCAGCUUUCACCACUGAAGAAAACGAGAGACAGCACAGCCAUCAUGGACUCCCUGCAGAUUUCACCAGCUUUCACCCACAGUUAUUUGCAUUCGCUGGCAUCAGCCACCUGAGUCCUACCUACUUUCUCCCUGCCCUGAUCUGGCCCCUGCUAGAGCCCAGGUACUGCACCAACAGCCAGCCCAGGCCUAUUUGUGAAUAUAAGACAUGAACCUAGAUGCCCCAUCGCCAUGUGUGCAUUUGGGGCAAGCCCCUUCAGCUGUGCACUUGCACACUGCCAGCCUGACACCUGUCACUGGCUCCCACUGCUGUGUGCACACCUAGGGGGAGACCGCAGCCACAGGAGAGCAUGCAGAUAGCUAGGGGCUCUUGUAGCUGCCAGGGUGCCUGCAGCUGGCCCUGGCCUUUGCUGCCUGCCCUGGCACCCACCACUAGGUGCAUGCCUGCAACUGGCCCCAGCCACUACAUAGGUACGUAUAGCUGACCCCUGUAGCUGAGUUGUGUACACACCACAGGCAUCGGCCACCACCACUGCCUGUUCCAGUCACUGGAUCUAGAGGUGCUGCUCAGAACCCCAACAGCCACUGUAGCCUUUGCAGACUCCCUGCAGCAUUCAUCAAGGACCACACAGUUGAUGCUGUAGACCCCAGCAACCUGAGCCAAAGAGAGACCAUGCCUCUUGGACCCCUUGCUGCCACAUGCCCCCACACUUGGUACCCUGCACCACUAGACCUGGGUCACAGCAUGUUGCAGUGUGCCCACUCCCUCUCCAACCCUUGUAGGUGUGAAAGUCUUCACUUACCAAAGUCAGUCCAUAAUGUCUGUAAGAGAUGACUGCUUCUUGAAAUGCAGACACUCAUGCAAGGCUACAGGGAUCAUGAAGAAUCAGGGAGACCUCUCCAUCAAAGGAAUACAGUCAACCUCCAGUAACUGGCCCUAAAGAAACAGAGAUCCAGGAUUGCCUGAUAGUUUAAGAAAAUUGUCUAAAGAUGCUCUGAGGACUACAAGAGAACAAACAAUUUAAUCAUAUCUGGAAAAUAGGACAAGAACAAAUAAGACGUACAUCAAAGAGACAGAAAAUCUAAAAAAGAAAUUUUGGAGCUGAAGAAUACAAUGACUGAAUUGAAAAAUUCAGUAGAGAGCUUCAACAUCAGACUUGAAGAUGAAGAAGAAAGAUUCAGUGAGUCAGAUCAACUGAAAUUAUCCAGAGGAGCAAAAAGAAUGAAAAGGACUGAAGAACACCUAUAGGACUUAGGAGACCCUGUUAAGAGAAACAAUGUACAUAUUAUUGGAGUUACAAAAGGAGAAGAGACAGAGAAAGAGGUAGAAAGCUUAUUUAAAGAAAUAAUGGCUGAGAAUUUCUCAAACCUGGGAGAAAUAUGGACUUCCAAGUUCAUGAAAUUAAUAGCUUACUCCAAAAUUUCAUUCUAAAAUGAUCUUUUCUCAUAAGGCUAUCAGCAGAUUUCCCAGUAGAGACCUUGCAUCCAGGAGAGAAUGGAGUGAUAUAUUCAAGUACUGAAAGAAAGAAAAAAAAAACCUGCCAACCAAGAACCCAGCAAAGCUGUCCUUCAGAAAUGAAGCCUCUUCCAUGAAUUGUUUCAAAGGCAGCUGAGCACAGAGCACCAGCCUGUUCUUCAACCCAGCAUCACAGGCACAUCCAGCUUGCGCCCAGUUAGUGUCACCUUCGGGUGCCCUCCCUGGAGACAGAACAACAAAUCUUAAUCCUCAUGAGGCUUCUGAGGAGCUCGGGGAGCAGCGUGAUUCCUUACCGAAGGGAAGGGUCAGAGGCCACAGGCUGGUUCCAUCACACAUUCUGGAGGCUGUCAAAAAUUUCAGAACGUUCACAGUUAAAAAUAUUUUAUUGAAGUUUAUACAAAAUACAGUCAUGUACAAAAAUGUACAUAACAGUUUUUUAAAAUUCGGUUUACAUUUAUAAAAGGAACAACCGUCAUUUCAAAUAACGUUCUGCUUCCGUGUCAUGUAAACAUUGCUCUGGGCCCAUGUUAUUUUACUAAAAUUGUAUCCACCCUUGGAGAUGUCAUGAUCGUGUGGAUGCCUUCAGAUUGAGAAUUCGAUCUGACACACGUAUUUCUCGAGCUGCGCAUGUGACCACGACUGGCUGGAUUCCAGGCAAAAUGAGAUCCCCUAGAGACAUAAGUGCAGUUUCAUAGCAGUACGGACUUGCAUAGCUGUGCGGGUUUCAUGCGGCUGCACACCUGCGUAGACCUGUAAGCCUCAGCCUGUCUACACACACCUAUUAUGAAGGACUGUGGUGGGAGAGCGCAAAUACCCACGAGGACGCAGUCCCUACCAGGGAAAGUAGCCAGCGCCACAGUGCGCGCACGUCACCCGGCUCUGGAGCCUGCGGGGGCGGCCACGCUGAGACGUCAGCAUACACAAUUUCAGUACACACAGAUCUGAAAAUACGCUUAGCCUAUCUUUUGACAAAAUGUCGUUUACAGUAGAUUUUGAAGGUCGUGUGGGGAAAAAAUAAAAAGCAAGGGGAUUAAUGAAAGGAGAGCACAUUCUGGCUUCUGCUAAACCCACGGGCUUCCAAGGAAACACUGCUUCAACGUUUUAGUCCAGUUUUACCCUCCCUGUUGGUUUAACCAAACGGAUACUAUGAAGAAUAUCACAAAGGUGUGGGUUUUGGCGCAGAAACCGCCUCUCCUAACCCAGGGAGAAACCCCCUCAGGAAGCAGUGUGUCAGGAAGCCCCGCCUUGAAAGCAAAACCGAUUUAGACUACAACCAGAUUUGCACAAAGAGUUAUGGCAUUCAACUAUAAAUGUACCAAUGGUAGAAAAUGAUAUACCUUUAAGAAAAAUUGCAUCUUUGUGAUCAGAUUAAGAAUCUCUUAAAAAACUAAUAAACUAAAUUUUGAUUUUCCUUGCA